AAGGGGCAGUAAUGCGUGGGUAACCUACCCUGGGAUUUGGGAUAGCCCGUCGAGAGACGGGGUAAUACCGAGCGAUGUCGUGUUGGGGCAUCCUGAUGCGACCAAAGUUCCGGCGUCCUGGGAGGGGCCCACGUGAUAUUAGCUAGUUGGUGAGGUAACGGCUCACCAAGGCGAAGAUGUCUAGCGGGUGUGAGAGCACGACCCGCGCCACUGGCACUGAGACACUGGCCAGACACCUACGGGUGGCUGCAGUCGAGGAUCUUCGGCAAUGGGCGCAAGCCUGACCGAGCGACGCCGCGUGGGCGAUGAAGGCCUUCGGGUUGUAAAGCCCUGUCGAGGGGGAGAAAACGCAAGUUGAUCUAUCCCUGGAGGAAGCACGGGCUAAGUUCGUGCCAGCAGCCGCGGUAAGACGAACCGUGCGAACGUUGUUCGGAAUCACUGGGCUUAAAGGGCGCGUAGGCGGGCCACCAAGUCCGCGGUGAAAUCCUCCGGCUUAACCGGAGAAGUGCCGCGGAUACUGGGGGCCUCGAGGCGGGUAGGGGCGUGCGGAACUCUGAGUGGAGCGGUGAAAUGCGUUGA
rnacentral:rRNA from 1 species